UACGUAGGGCGCAAGCGUUAUCCGGAAUUAUUGGGCGUAAAGAGCUCGUAGGCGGUUUGUCGCGUCUGCCGUGAAAGUCCGGGGCUCAACUCCAGAUCUGCGGUGGGUACGGGCAGACUAGAGUGAUGUAGGGGAGACUGGAAUUCCUGGUGUAGCGGUGAAAUGCGCAGAUAUCAGGAGGAACACCGAUGGCGGAGGCAGGUCUCUGGGCAUUAACUGACGCUGAGGAGCGAAAGCAUGGGGAGCGAACAGG
rnacentral:rRNA from 1 species